GAAUAUGAAACGAUUUAUUGUAAUUAGUUUCGACCUAAUUUUAGGUAUUUAUACCCUUAUUCU
rnacentral:tRNA from 3 species